ensembl:lncRNA
AUGAAACGCCAGCAACAGAUGACUUUAAUGUCUUCAUGGAUGAAAAAAAAGAAAGGAGAUAGCACAGAUGAGGUGGAGCUGCUUCAGAACAGAGAGGGUGAGAUAGGGAAAAGCAGUAGCAGCAUGACGUUACAGAGAACAGAUGAGGUGAAGCUGCUUAAAGACAGGGAGGGUGAGACAGGGAGAAGUAGCUCAGAGUUGCAGGUGAGACAGGGAACAGGCGCAAGCGAAGAAGUGCAGAAGGGAGAGCUGCAGACCCAUUCAACUGUGAGCCACUGCUGCUGGUGCUGGCUAUACCUCCCAUUGUCCUUCCUUUAUGUGCGGAGUGGGGAGCGCGCGCACUGCAGGGCAUGGAAGCGCCCAUGCAAUCUCUUGCAUUUUUUCCUGUCAACAGUGUAA